rnacentral:tRNA from 1 species
GCACUCGUCGUUCAACGGAUAGGACACAAGCUUGCGGAGCUUGUAAUUGAGGUUCGAUUCCUCACGAGUGCA